AUUGAACGCUGGCGGAAUGCUUUACACACGCAAGUCGAACGAUGAAGUCUAGCUUGCUAGACGGAUUAGUGGCGAACGGGUGAGUAAUAUAUCGGAACGUACCUUGUAAUGGGGGAUAACUAGUCGAAAGAUUAGCUAAUACCGCAUACGCCCUGAGGGGGAAAGUAGGGGAUCUUCGGACCUUACGUUAUAAGAGCGGCCGAUAUCUGAUUAGCUAGUUGGUGGGGUAAAGGCCUACCAAGGCGACGAUCAGUAGCUGGUCUGAGAGGACGACCAGCCACACUGGAACUGAGACACGGUCCAGACUCCUACGGGAGGCAGCAGUGGGGAAUUUUGGACAAUGGGCGAAAGCCUGAUCCAGCCAUUCCGCGUGAGUGAAGAAGGCCUUCGGGUUGUAAAGCUCUUUCGCAAGGGAAGAAAACUUACAUUCUAAUAAAGUGUGAGGCUGACGGUACCUUGAUAAGAAGCACCGGCUAACUACGUGCCAGCCGCCGCGGUAA
rnacentral:rRNA from 1 species